rnacentral:rRNA from 1 species
AUACGUAGGGGGCAAGCGUUAUCCGGAUUUACUGGGUGUAACGGGAGCGUAGACGGCAAAGCAAGUCUGAAGUGACAGCCCCGGGCUCAACCCGGGAAUUGCUUUGGAAACUGUUUAGCUGGAGUGCAGGAGAGGUAAGCGGAAUUCCUAGUGUAGCGGUGAAAUGCGUAGAUAUUAGGAGGAACACCGGCGGCGAAGGCGGCUUACUGGACUGUAACUGACGUUGAGGCUCGAAAGCGUGGGGAGCAAACAGGAUUAGAUACCCUGGUAGUCCACACCGUAAACGAUGAUUACUAGGUGUUGGUUGUCACAGACAAUCGGUGCCGCAGCAAACGCAAUAAGUAAUCCACCUGGGGAGUACGUUCGCAAGAAUGAAACUCAAAUGAAUCGACGGGG